CCUCCCUGAGGCCGCCCGAUAGUGCUGGCUCGAAACUGAAAGGGUGGCCCUGACCCAACACUCCUUCAAACCCCACUCCAGUGCUGUCCGCGAUAGGAGAGCAUCCCGGGACGUUGGCUGCCUACCUCGCCAUUGGCCUUGGAGGACCUGCGUGCCCCACUAAGUGCUGGCAGAGAAUGUUGGCCGACUUGGGAAAAGCUCUUCUAUUGCCUCCACACAGCCUCAGCGUGUCUCUGUCCAGAAGCCCUUGGUCCACAAAGCAGAUCUGGAUCAAGGGCUCACUCCACCAGUUACCG
rnacentral:lncRNA from 1 species